rnacentral:rRNA from 1 species
GGACUACUGGGGUUUCUAAUCCUGUUUGCUCCCCUAGCUUUCGUUCCUCAGCGUCAGUUAUGGUCCAGCGCGCCGCUUUCGCCACGGGUGUUCCUGCAGAUAUCUACGCAUUUCACCGCUACACCUGCAAUUCCACGCGCCUCUCCCACACUCAAGCAAAGCAGUUUUGAAAGCAGCCUCUGAGUUAAGCCCAGAGAUUUCACUCCCAACUUGCCUCACCGCCUACGAACCCUUUACACCCAGUAAUUCCGAACAACGCUGGCCCCCUACGUAUUACCGCGGCUGCUGGCAC